CAUUUUGAACCGCAUGGUUCGAAAUUGAAAGGCGGCUUCGGCUGUCACUUAUGGAUGGACCCGCGUCGCAUUAGCUAGUUGGUGAGGUAACGGCUCACCAAGGCAACGAUGCGUAGCCGACCUGAGAGGGUGAUCGGCCACACUGGGACUGAGACACGGCCCAGACUCCUACGGGAGGCAGCAGUAGGGAAUCUUCCGCAAUGGACGAAAGUCUGACGGAGCAACGCCGCGUGAGUGAUGAAGGCUUUCGGGUCGUAAAACUCUGUUGUUAGGGAAGAACAAGUGCUAGUUGAAUAAGCUGGCACCUUGACGGUACCUAACCAGAAAGCCACGGCUAACUACGUGCCAGCAGCCGCGGUAAUACGUAGGUGGCAAGCGUUAUCCGGAAUUAUUGGGCGUAAAGCGCGCGCAGGUGGUUUCUUAAGUCUGAUGUGAAAGCCCACGGCUCAACCGUGGAGGGUCAUUGGAAACUGGGAGACUUGAGUGCAGAAGAGGAAAGUGGAAUUCCAUGUGUAGCGGUGAAAUGCGUAGAGAUAUGGAGGAACACCAGUGGCGAAAGGCGACUUUCUGGUCUGUAACUGACACU
rnacentral:rRNA from 1 species